rnacentral:rRNA from 1 species
UACGAAGGGUGCAAACGUUGCUCGGAAUUAUUGGGCGUAAAGCGCACGUAGGCGGCUUUGCAAGUCCCAUGUGAAAUCCCACGGCUCAACCGUGGAAGUGCAUGGGAAACUGCAGAGCUUGAGUACUUAAGAGGAUCGCGGAAUUCCCGGUGUAGAGGUGAAAUUCGUAGAUAUCGGGAGGAACACCAGUGGCGAAGGCGGCGAUCUGGGAAGAUACUGACGCUGAGACGCGAAAGCGUGGGGAGCGAACAGG